rnacentral:rRNA from 1 species
UACGUAGGGAGCAAGCGUUGUCCGGAAUCAUUGGGCGUAAAGCGCGCGUAGGUGGCCACAUAAGUCCGUUGUGAAAGUCAAAGGCUCAACCUUUGAAUGUCGAUGGAUACUGCCGGGCUAGAGUCCGGAAGAGGCGAGUGGAAUUCCUGGUGUAGCGGUGGAAUGCGCAGAUAUCAGGAGGAACACCAAUAGCGAAGGCAGCUCGCUGGGACGGUACUGACGCUAAGGCGCGAAAGCGUGGGGAGCGAACAGG